UGGGUCCGUGGUAUCGUCGAACGGCUGCCCAGCGCCUACGCUUACGUCGGGGAGUUAGCCUCAGACGGUGAGGGCGUCGAUUUACGUACUCUCCGGCGGGAGUUAGACCGUACCGGAGCUCGCCGAGUCCUUGUCGCGGGGGUCGAACGGUUCUCCGAGGAAAAAUUUGCGAUGUUUAUGCGGUCUUGCAGGCUGCGCAAGGUAGAGGUGUGCAUAGUCCCCAGCGCCGUAACCCUUCUGGGAGGAGGAACUUCCCUCUCUCAAGAGGCCGGUAUUCCUUUGCUGAAGUUGGAAUAUCCUGCUUUGGAUGGGCCUCAGCGUAU
rnacentral:misc_RNA from 1 species